UACGGGGGGGGCAAGCGUUGUUCGGAAUUACUGGGCGUAAAGGGGCUGUAGGCGGCCAACUAAGUCCGACGUGAAAUCCCAAGGCUUAACCUUGGAACUGCGUCGGAUACUGGAUGGCUUGAAUUCGGGAGAGGGAUGCAGAAUUCCAGGUGUAGCGGUGAAAUGCGUAGAUAUCUGGAGGAAUACCGGUGGCGAAGGCGGCAUCCUGGACCGACAUUGACGCUGAAAGCCGAAAGCUAGGGGAGCAAACGGG
rnacentral:rRNA from 1 species